rnacentral:tRNA from 1 species
GGGAGAGGAUGGCGGGCUGGUGCCCCCCACGGUCUUCAAAACCGCUGUGCCCCUGGGCAACCUUGGGCAGGAGGGUUCGAUUCCCUUGCUCUCCCGCCA